rnacentral:rRNA from 1 species
GAUGAACGCUAGCUACAGGCUUAACACAUGCAAGUCGAGGGGAAACGACAUCGAAAGCUUGCUUUUGAUGGGCGUCGACCGGCGCACGGGUGAGUAACGCGUAUCCAACCUGCCCACCACUUGGGGAUAACCUUGCGAAAGUAAGACUAAUACCCAAUGAUAUCUCUAGAAGACAUCUGAAAGGGAUUAAAGAUUUAUCGGUGAUGGAUGGGGAUGCGUCUGAUUAGCUUGUUGGCGGGGUAACGGCCCACCAAGGCUACGAUCAGUAGGGGUUCUGAGAGGAAGGUCCCCCACAGUGGAACUGAGACACGGUCCAAACUCCUACGGGAGGCAGCAGUGAGGAAUAUUGGUCAAUGGGCGAGAGCCUGAACCAGCCAAGUAGCGUGCAGGAUGACGGCCCUAUGGGUUGUAAACUGCUUUUAUAAGGGAAUAAAGUGAGCCUCGUGAGGCUUUUUGCAUGUACCUUAUGAAUAAGGACCGGCUAAUUCCGUGCCAGCCGCCGCCGUAA